CAGUCGCCGCGGUAAUACGGAGGAUCCAAGCGUUAUCCGGAAUCAUUGGGUUUAAAGGGUCCGUAGGCGGUCUUGUAAGUCAGUGGUGAAAGCCCAUCGCUCAACGGUGGAACGGCCAUUGAUACUGCAGGACUUGAAUUAUUGGGAAGUAACUAGAAUAUGUAGUGUAGCGGUGAAAUGCUUAGAGAUUACAUGGAAUACCAAUUGCGAAGGCAGGUUACUACCAAUUGAUUGACGCUGAUGGACGAAAGCGUGGGUAGCGAACAGGAUUAGAUACCCGGGUAGUCCCUGUCUCUUAUAA
rnacentral:rRNA from 1 species